rfam:Citrus sinensis cultivar Ridge Pineapple sweet orange scaffold00024_contig_50, whole genome shotgun sequence.
UCCCUCAUUGAUGAAGAAUCGAUGACUCAAAUCCUUGCGGGAGUAGGCAAUGAUUAUGAUGCUAUUGUCGUUAAUUUAAUUGCUAGGAUUAAAACCUUGACCCUGCAGGAAGUAUUCUCUAUGCUGCUGACACAUGAGA